GAGGGAUCGGAAUCCUGGUCCACUCCGCAGAGGCCCGAGCGGGCUCGCGAGGGAACGGGUUCUCCGAGUCUGGCCGGCCACAACAACUGGAUUCUCUUUUCUGAUUUUUGCUGCAGCUUCUGCUUUGUAAUCAUACGGACAGUUGUGCUUGUCAGAGUUAACGGUGAAGUCCACAAAACAAAUUUCCACAUCGGCAGUCAAACCUAUACAGCAAGAAAGCAGCAUCUGCAAGAAAGCCCUCACCAGGACCAAAUCAGCUGACACCUCAACCUUGGACUACCCAGCUUCCCGAACUGUGAGGUAUAGAUUUUUAUUGUUUAAGUCACCAAGGCUACGGUGUUUUUAAUAGCAGCCCAAGCCCAGGAAUACAUCAUCUGACUCACUAUUUUGAAUCAAACUCUUCAGUUUCUCCAUCAACUUAGCUGGCAGCUCCUGUCCCCAGCAGCAUCAGAGGCCCCAUGAAAAGAGCUCCAGCAGGGGCUCAGCCUGCAUGGGUCCCAUGCGGCAGCCUCAGUGUCAGAGCCUGGAUGGCAGGUGAGGCUCCAGUGACACAACCACAAUGUGAAAGUGUAAGAGUUUUUAACUACUUAUAGAUACUGGAAAGCACAGGGCACACCUGGAGACCACAGACACUGGGGUCAGAGAGCCCAGGCAGGGAGGAGAGAAGGGAACUGUAGGCCAAUGGCUUUAUUGGGUCUAGGGUGUUAUUGACAGGUUUCCAGAAGGGAGCUUUAAUGGGUGUGUUUAAAGCAGGCAAACACUGGGGCAAGAAGAUCACACUGUGACUGAGAGGUGGUCACUUUAAAUUGGAGGGCGAAUGUCACAACUGUUUCAGUUUAAAGGAAGCAGCUGGCGAGAGGGGAGCCCAGCACACUAUGCAAGAGAGAUGCCUCUAAGAUUUUAUCUGUGGCCACCGACUGGAGCCAUUUGGACCGGGUACAGCAGUGGAAACUCUGUGAUGGUGACAAACAUGGGAAUCACUCUGAUGUGACGCAGUUAAAUUUACACCUUAAAAAAUGGAUGCCAAGACAACAUAAACAAGACCCAGGGACACCAACAGGGUAUGGUGCUGUGCCCCAGAGUCAGGGUCCUGGGUUCUUACCCAGGGAAGUGAGAAAUAAAGAUAACUUUUCCCUGCUCCCUCUCUCCUCCCCUGACACUGAUCUUCCCACCCUGUACCUCCCUCUUCUGCUCCCAAACCCCCACCCAGUGCUCAGUCGCAGACAUCACUGCCUGCAGGGCAUGCACAGUGCAGCCCAUUGCACACAAACUACAAACUCACAGAAGGUGAUGACAAUUUGUGUUUGGGACGUCUGAUUGUGAAAGAGGGAGGACAGCGUACUUGCAGCCACAGAGACUGAAACUGGAACGUGAUGGAACGGGGCUGGAACGUGAUGGAGCUCUGACAUAACAGACGUGUGACUUUGUGUGAAAUGUGCAGAUCCAUGUGGAAUAAAACACAGCCUAGCCUGUGAAAAAAAAAAAAAAAAAA
rnacentral:lncRNA from 1 species